rnacentral:rRNA from 1 species
AUGCGCCGCUUGUCGUCCUCGUCGCACGCGGCGUCGUCGCGGCCGCCGGCGGUCGGCUUCCGCUUCCACGCCGCGCUGGUCUUGCUCUUGCUCUUGCACCCAGCGGCCGCGGCGGUGGCGGUGGCGGUGGCGUCGAACGCGACCGCGCGGGCUCCGGCUCUUGGACCGGGCUUUGGCACAGCGUGGUGCACGGGCAUCGAGGGCCACCUCUGCGCAGCGCGGCCGCGCGCGCGCGUGGAGAAGGCCGGCGUCCUGGUCGAGGCGCCCGCGCAGUGGACGGCGGCGAGCUGCAGCAGGACGGCGAUGGCGAGGCAUAGGGCGGCGGCGCGCGCCCAGCGCCGCCUCCUCAUGGACGCUGAGCUCAGCGGGUGGCACGCACGUAGGAGCAGUACGUACGUGCGCUCUCUCCGAGUCUGGUUGUUGGGGAGCUCUGUUGGAGGCAGAGGGGGAGGGAGGGAGGCACACGCAGCUGACCAGCAAUGGGACUAUUCAAAGGGUCUGAGGAGCCGGGCUUGCUCCGAGUUUUAA